rnacentral:lncRNA from 1 species
GACUUUAAAGGAGAUUUUUUGUUUUGAAAGUGGCUUUUUUUUAUACUGAGUAACUUUAAAAUGGUUAAGUGUUGAGACUUUAAAGGGGAUGUUGAGUUUUGAAUGUUGUUAGGUGAGUGACUUAGUCACUUGAAAAUGGUUAUGUCUAGGGACUUUAAAUGGAAUUUUGGUUUUGAUGCUUAGUCACUUAAAAAUGGUUAAGUGUAGUGACUUU